rnacentral:rRNA from 1 species
CCUACGGGAGGCAGCAGUAGGGAAUAUUGGGCAAUGGACGCAAGUCUGACCCAGCCAUGCCGCGUGCAGGAUGAAGGCGUUAUGCGUCGUAAACUGCUUUUAUACAGGAAGAAACGACUCUUGCGAGAGGCAUUGACGGUACUGUAUGAAUAAGCACCGGCUAACUCCGUGCCAGCAGCCGCGGUAAUACGGAGGGUGCAAGCGUUGUCCGGAUUUAUUGGGUUUAAAGGGUGCGCAGGUGGUUUAUUAAGUCAGUGGUGAAAGACGGUCGCUCAACGAUUGCAGUGCCAUUGAAACUAGUAGACUUGAGUAAAGUAGAGGUGGGCGGAAUUGAUAGUGUAGCGGUGAAAUGCAUAGAUAUUAUCAAGAACUCCAAUUGCGUAGGCAGCUCACUUGGCUUUUACUGACACUCAUGCACGAAAGUGUGGGUAUCAAACAGGAUUAGAUACCCUGGUAGUCCACACUGUAAACGAUGAUAACUAGGUGUCGGCCGAAUCUGGUCGGUGCCNCAGNGAAGACGUAGUUAUCACCGNGGAGACGCGCGACGAGAACGACAANAGAGUAGAGCGNGAGGAGNGCGAGGCGACGACGAGGGGAGGUAGG